AACGAACGCUGGCGGCAGGCUUAACACAUGCAAGUCGAGCGCCCCGCCAGGGGAGCGGCAGCCGGGUGGGUAACGCGUGGGGACGUACCCUUAUCUUCGUGAUAUCUCUGGGAGACUGGAAUUAAUACCGAAUGUGCGCUCUGGGGGAAAGAGUUAUCGGAUAAGGUUGGGCUCGCGUGGGAUUAGCGAGUUGGUGGGGUAAAGGCGUACCAAGGGGACGAUCCAUAGCUGGUCAGAGAGGAUGAUCAGCCACAUUGGGAGUGAGGCACGGCCCAGAAUCCUACGGGAGGCAGCAGAGGGGAAUAGUAGAAAAGGGGCGCAAGCGUGAACGAGCCAUGCCGCGUAAGUGACGAAGACCUUAGGGGUACAAAGCUGUUAGUACCGAUAAGAUAAUGAAGGUAUCCUAAGAAGAAGCCCCGGCUAACUUCGUG
rnacentral:rRNA from 1 species